rnacentral:lncRNA from 1 species
GAAAGAUGAAUGUGAAGUUUGCUGAUGUAAAAGGGAACACUGGUGUCUACCCCACACCAUCGUAACCAGGACUAAACUGGAGGCAGUAUGAGGGUCUCUGACUUCGCUCUGGUUCUGCYUCCAUGUGGCCUUGGUUGCUUUCUUUGCAUCAGCAACCAGAAAGUGGAGGUUGCUUGUGGAUCCCUCACCCUCCGCCUAAGUUGAACUCUUCCCCCAGCUAGGUUAACAGAACAACUGCAAAGCAGAUCUAAAAGGCUCCCAAACAUACCUGGAUGCAGCUAGAUGUACCGACAGACUGACUCUGCAUGCCACUUGCAGAGGUCACCGAGAGUCAUGUCUAAGCAUUCUUGGGUGACUGUUAGGAGUAGGAGAAAAACG